AAAUAAUACCUAAAAUUCAAUUUUAGGCAGGUUUAUGAUAGUUUUUUGAUAACUUAAGGUUUUUGAUGAUUUGGUAAAUAGUUUUCGCUUGCUUAUCUCUCUUUGAGAAUAGUAAAUUUUAUGAUAUUUUUUUUUUUUUUUGAAUAAGUCAUUGCUCCUGGAGCACGAAAAUUGUUUAAAACGUUACCUCCAGAUUUAAGCGAAAAACUUUUUUAAACAAACUUUAAUGCCGAAAAAUCCUUGAGAGUUUAUCGAAACAUAAGGAUAAUAAAGAAUAAAGAUUAAAUCAAGUAAUCUGCGAAAUCUAAAAAAUUUUUCAAUCUAGUAGUCCAUUUCAUCCAACUGAUUUUGGGUAGUUUAGAGAGCCUCAUAAAAUAUUCAGUCUGUUGUGAGAUUUCAUAGAGUCAACACGACAGUUUUACACUUUUUGAGGUCACAACGAAAAAGUAUACCGAAUUUUAUUUUAUUAACGAUCUAAAUUUUUUGAAAUAAGCAAUGGCUUCUCGGUGUGGACCUCCCCCAAAAAAACCAGUGGGUUCCUUUUUGAUCUGGAUGAGUACUUGCGGGCGAGCAAGGAUAAAAAAACAAUUCCCAAACUAUAAGGCGACUGAGGUAGCAUCCCUAGGUGGCAAAAUAUGGCGUCAGAUGUCCGAUGAGAAAAAGUCUUUGUGGAAGAAGAAGGCGGCUAAGGCGAGGAGCGAAUACAACCGUCGUCUUAAAGAAUAUAAGGACGACAUAGCAAAUGUGAAUACCAACGGCACUGAUGAAAAGCGUGUAACUGAUCAACCAAUGCGGAACUUUUCCAAGAAAAGGACUUGUGUAUCGGAGCCGGCGAUUGCUAAUCCAUCUGCGGCUAUCAUUAAGUGUGACUUUUGCAACAAGGAUGGAACCACUCCCACCGAAAGUCAUUCAAAUUGUUCAUGUAAUUUUUAAACAUUACUCCCGUUUAAUUGUUAAUUAAUUUCAAAAUCUAACGUAACAAAUCGGCAAAUGCCCAAAGAUAUAACAAGAGACAUAUGCUCAAUCAGUAGCUGUAAUCUCCAUUACAAACAAAUGUAGCUUAAUUUUAAUUGUUGGCAAUAUAUUACAACUGUUCACAAUGUGCUUAUGCCGACAUUUUAAAACAAAGUUUGUUUUUCUUAAAUGUGUUUAGUUAUCUGGCAACGCUGAGUUAACCGUGUUUCCCAACAAGUGCGAAAAGAAAGAAAGCUUUGCUAUUUGGCUUUUACUUUUAUGCCCUCAGUCCCUUUUGCUGCCCUCAGUCCUCAGACCCUGUGUUAGCCAAAAGCCAAAUUGGCUUUUUGUGCUGUUUGCCGGCACAUAGUGCAAUGUUUUUUCUCAGCCUGGUUUUUUGUUCUGUGCAAUUAAAGCUGCCAGCUCCUGUUUCUCCGUCCUUUCUCUGCCCGUAGAACCUUUGUGGGCCCGAGACAAAUUGUCUUCGUGAGCACAUGGACUUGCAGUGGAAAAAAUUAUCAAAUUUAAAUGCGUAGAUAAAUUUUCAUAUGUCAAAAAACUAUAACGUACCAAAAUGGCCUACUAUUUUACAAUUAUUUAUGUAGCUUAUGUAGUAUAUUUUUCUUAACUUUUUUUCCUUGGUAAUCAAAUUUUUUUAAAGUGUUUUUGUAUUGGUAUAGGUGUCAGCUACAGCUGAUAAUUGCAGUGGAAACAGUGGCAGUAGCAGGACCGGCAACAGGAACGCCAACUGCCUCCUGCAAUAAAAGUCACAAUGGCGACAGCUCACGACACAUUGCUUCACCUCAUCCCCUUCAUCAGGUCCUUUCUCCAAAGUUUGCCGGUGUGUGUGUAUGAGUGUGAUUGACGGCCGGCGGGCUUUCUCAUGUUUGUCUGCCGUGGCUGUAGUUAUUGUAGAAUUCAAUUUGCUGUAAAUGUAUUGCUGGCUUGGCUCGUGGUCGCUUCUGUUGCCUUUGGUUACAGCUCAUUAGCAACAGCGGCAGCAGCAGUACACAUCCAGUGGCGCAGCCAAGGCAAACAGAAAGGCUUUUGGUUAACAUAAAUUCAACAGCCGCGAUGCCACUAGUACAGUAAAAACAAUUGGAUUUUAAUAAAAACAAGAGUCCAUAAACUAUUUGAAAAUGUGAUAAAAAUCAUUUUAAUGCUUUUUCGUACCAUAUAAUUUUUACAAACUGAAUUUUGUACAGUAUUUUUGUACAGUAACUUUGUAUUAAAAAUUCCCUAUAAAAUAUUUACGAGCAGGCAUUAAAUAUACAACAAAAAUAAUAUCAAUAGCA